UGGGGGAUAUUGCACAAUGGAGGAAACUCUGAUGCAGCGACGCCGCGUGAGGGAAGAAGGUUUUCGGAUUGUAAACCUCUGUCUUCGGUGACGAAAAUGACGGUAGCCGAGGAGGAAGCCACGGCUAACUACGUGCCAGCAGCCGCGGUAAUACGUAGGUGGCAAGCGUUGUCCGGAAUUACUGGGUGUAAAGGGAGCGUAGGCGGGAAGGCAAGUUGAUUGUUUAAACUAUGGGCUCAACCCAUAGUCGCGAUCAAAACUGUUUUUUCUUGAGUGAAGUAGAGGUAAGCGGAAUUCCUAGUGUAGCGGUGAAAUGCGUAAAUAUUAGGAGGAACACCAGUGGCGAAGGCGGCUUACUGGGCUUUAACUGACGCUGAGGCUCGAAAGCGUGGGUAGCAAACAGGAUUAGAUACCC
rnacentral:rRNA from 1 species